UACGUAGGGGGCUAGCGUUGUCCGGAAUUAUUGGGCGUAAAGAGCUCGUAGGCGGUUUGUCGCGUCUGCUGUGAAAGACCGGGGCUCAACUCCGGUUCUGCAGUGGGUACGGGCAGACUAGAGUGCAGUAGGGGAGACUGGAAUUCCUGGUGUAGCGGUGAAAUGCGCAGAUAUCAGGAGGAACACCGAUGCGAAGGCAGGUCUCUGGGCUGUAACUGACGUGAGGAGCGAAAGCAUGGGGAGCGAACGGG
rnacentral:rRNA from 1 species